UAAUACGUAGGGUGCGAGCGUUAAUCGGAAUUACUGGGCGUAAAGUGUGCGCAGGCGGCGUCACAAGUCGAGUGUGAAAUCCCCGGGCUUAACUUGGGAAUUGCGCUCGAAACUACGGUGCUGGAGUGUGGCAGAGGAAGGUGGAAUUCCACGUGUAGCGGUGAAAUGCGUAGAGAUGUGGAGGAACACCGAUGGCGAAGGCAGCCUUCUGGGCCAACACUGACGCUCAUGCACGAAAGCGUGGGAGCAAACAGGAUUAGAUACCCUGGUAGUCCACGCCCUAAACGAUGAUGACUAGUUGUUGGGGGAGUUAAAUCCCUUAGUAACGCAGCUAACGCGUGAAGUCAUCCGCCUGGGGAGUACGGUCGCAAGAUUAAAACUCAAAGGAAUUGACGGGGGCCCGCACAAGCGGUGGAUGAUGUGGUUUAAUUCGAUGCAACGCGAAAAACCUUACCUACCCUUGACAUGUCA
rnacentral:rRNA from 1 species